rnacentral:rRNA from 1 species
CGCGCAGGUGGUUUCUUAAGUCUGAUGUGAAAGCCCACGGCUCAACCGUGGAGGGUCAUUGGAAACUGGGAGACUUGAGUGCAGAAGAGGAAAGUGGAAUUCCAUGUGUAGCGGUGAAAUGCGUAGAGAUAUGGAGGAACACCAGUGGCGAAGGCGACUUUCUGGUCUGCAACUGACACUGAGGCGCGAAAGCGUGGGGAGCAAACA